UACGUAGGGUGCAAGCGUUAAUCGGAAUUACUGGGCGUAAAGCGUGCGCAGGCGGUUGUGCAAGACAGAUGUGAAAUCCCCGGGCUCAACCUGGGAAUUGCAUUUGUGACUGCACGGCUAGAGUGUGUCAGAGGGGGGUAGAAUUCCACGUGUAGCAGUGAAAUGCGUAGAGAUGUGGAGGAAUACCGAUGGCGAAGGCAGCCCCCUGGGAUAACACUGACGCCUCAUGCACGGAAAGCGUGGGGAGCGAACGGG
rnacentral:rRNA from 1 species